GGAAUAUAAGAACCCGUCUCUUAACUUUUAACUAAAAAAGUUAAGAGCCGGUUCUUAGCUUUUUUAGUUAAAAAUUAAGAGACGAGUUUUUAUAUUCC
rnacentral:pre_miRNA from 1 species